rnacentral:rRNA from 1 species
AUUGAACGCUGGCGGCAGGCUUAACACAUGCAAGUCGAGCGGAGAUGAGGUGCUUGCACCUUAUCUUAGCGGCGGACGGGUGAGUAAUGCUUAGGAAUCUGCCUAUUAGUGGGGGACAACAUUCCGAAAGGAAUGCUAAUACCGCAUACGCCCUACGGGGGAAAGCAGGGGAUCUUCGGACCUUGCGCUAAUAGAUGAGCCCAAGUCGGAUUAGGUAGUUGGUGGGGUAAAGGCCUACCAAGUCGACGAUCUAUAGCGGGUCUGAGAGGAUGAUCCGCCACACUGGGACUGAGACACGACCCAGACUCCUACGGGAGGCAGCAGUGGGGAAUAUUGGACAAUGGGCGGAAGCCUGAUCCAGCCAUGCCGCGUGUGUGAAGAAGGCCUUUUGGUUGUAAAGCACUUUAAGCGAGGAGGAGGCUACCUGGAUUAAUACUCUAGGAUAGUGGACGUUACUCGCAGAAUAAGCACCGGCUAACUCUGUGCCAGCCGCCGCCGUAAGAC